rnacentral:antisense_RNA from 2 species
AUAGAGGUUUUUCGCACAAGGGCACGACAUUGCUCACAUUGCUUCCAGUAUUAUUUUACUAGCCAGCUCGGGUGCUGGCUUUUUUUU